CAUUGUUUGGAGUUACUGCUCAAAACAGAAGCAACAAUGAACUGAAUCAGAACAAUUUACUUUGCUGAAUCUUUAUAAACUGUGAAGUAAAAUUUAGAUUUCAAUGAUCGACUUCUACUUCAGUACUAUUUGAUUAUUUGGUGGAGGAAGUGCUGAAUGUGGAAUAGAGAAAGUAUCGUCCGUGCGUUACCCACCGGAAGUGAAGAACGUGGCGGGCCGGAAUUCGCGGUGGCGGAAGAGGGUUUGCACGAGAAUAAGCAAAAGGGAAAUUAUGUCGUCUGAUACGUUUUUUUUAUGAAAACCCCCGAAUAUCUAUCAAUGUUAAAAAAU
rnacentral:lncRNA from 1 species